rnacentral:rRNA from 1 species
UACGGGGGGGAGCAAGCGUUGUUCGGAUUUACUGGGCGUAAAGGGAGCGUAGGCGGAUAGUUUAGUCAGAGGUGAAAGCCCAGGGCUCAACCUUGGAAUUGCCUUUGAUACUGGCUAUCUUGAGUACGGAAGAGGUAUGUGGAACUCCGAGUGUAGAGGUGAAAUUCGUAGAUAUUCGGAAGAACACCAGUGGCGAAGGCGACAUACUGGUCCGUUACUGACGCUGAGGCUCGAAAGCGUGGGGAGCAAACAGG